ACCCGCUCCUGCCCCUACACCCGCACCCGCUCCUGCACCCGCACCCGCACCGAGCCGCGUGCCGGUGCUUCAGAGAGGGGCUGGGCAGAGCCCAGAGUGGCGGAGCCCUGGCCUUGGGUGCCCGCCGCGGCCCUCCCUGUCCCCGGUGUGUUGCUCUAGCUCUUACUCCUCCCUGUACACGUGAAGGAGAAACGUUGGUCACGGUCCAAAAGCUCCAGAGGGGUCUCCCCCGGCCAGUUUAGAAUUCUCGUUGAGAUUAGAAGCAGGUCCAAGUCACCAAAGUGUUACAGAGAGCGCUGGCUAUGCCCACGUGAUGGACUUAACAGAGGUGAAACAGAAGGGAGCACCAGUGUCCUGCAUCUGCAAACAGUGCUGCAGCAGACUGACCAUGCACAGGCAUUUUCCUUCUGGAAACCAGAGGCAUCCCCUCCCAGUCCACAGGAAAACCCUUAGCCCCUUCCCCUCUGCCUGUCCAGCUACUUAAGGAACCGGUUGUCCUCCCAUCGCUCUGCGUGGGGCCUGCCUCCUCCUGCCUUGCCACACCCCAUUGUGCCUGCAUUCCUCCUAUAGAAAACAACCAAGCCGCGGUUCAAAAACAGAGUUACAAAGGCAGGGAGCCGUGCACUCACGUGGCUUUGGGUGGGGAGAGGAAGAAGUAAAUUGCAGUCUGCAAAUUAGUGCUCAGUGGAUUAAUAUUUCCUAAAAAUAUCCCUAAUUUGCAUCUCCUACAAGCAAAUGCUUUGUGGAAAAGCCAUCUUUAUGGGACUUCGGGAGCAGCGGACGGCCCCACUGUGCCGAGCACCCUGCGUCUCCUGCUGCUCCAGCUCAACGCCUUCCACGGAUAGAAGAAA